AGUGAACGCUGGCGGCGUGCUUAACACAUGCAAGUCGAACGGGCAAGAGCCGUAGCAAUACGGAGUUCUGCUAGUGGCAAACGGGUGAGUAAUACAUGGGAAUCUACCUUGGAGUCUAGGAUAACAGUUGGAAACGACUGCUAAUACCGGAUAUAACCGAGAGGUAAAAGAUUUAUCGCUCUAAGAUGAGCCCAUGGAGGAUUAGCUAGUUGGUAGGGUAAAGGCCUACCAAGGCGACGAUCCUUAGCUGUCUGAGAGGAUGAUCAGCCACACUGGGACUGAGACACGGCCCAGACUCCUACGGGAGGCAGCAGUGGGGAAUAUUGGACAAUGGGGGGAACCCUGAUCCAGCCAUGCCGCGUGUGUGAAGAAGGCCUUAUGGUUGUAAAGCACUUUAAGCGAGGAGGAGGCUCUUUUGGUUAAUACCCAAGAUGAGUGGACGUUACUCGCAGAAUAAGCACCGGCUAACUCUGUGCCAGCCGCCGCAGUAA
rnacentral:rRNA from 1 species